UCAACUACAUAGAGGGCUUGCUCCGAUCUGGACUGAAUAUGAAUGCAGUCGAUCAUGCCGCUGCACUGUUCUUCACACCACGACAGCUGGGUCCAGUCUUGACAGGAGGCCAAAGGCUCCACCCACAAGGCACAUGGCUUGUCAGCAACAACACAGAGCACCAGUGUGUCCAGGCCACAUCCACCAACAAGCCCGAUGCCCUCUGCAAGUCCGGUUGACACAGGGCAAGAGCCAUGAGCACCCAAGCUCUGGCAGCCUUCCCGGGAGCUCUCGCUCUCUGGGCACACAGGGAUCUCCCUGCUUGGGCGGACGGUGGGUCUGCCGGGACUCGACGUGCCAUGGGGCCCUCCCAUGACGCCCAAAGGUCUGCCUCCCCGAGCCCUCAAGGGCUCCGCAUCUACUAAGGCCAUACUGCCCUGACCAGAAUGCCGGCCAAGGCCAGGUACCAGCCAUCCUGGUCUCAGCCCGCCAAGUUGCCCACAGCCCGACCACCCAAGGGGUACCCAAGGGAAACCCUGGUGCCCAACCUGUGCCAGGCUGUGGGUCCCGUGGCUCAACCCCCUUGGGGGAGCCUUCGUGUGGCUGUUCGUGUAUACCAGCACAGGCUCGGGGCCACGUGAACACUUGGGCCCUCCUCUGCUUCCACCAGGUGGGCUGCCCCCCGCAAUCCUGAACCUCGAAAUCCUCGUUGAGCCUCCUCCUCUCUCAGGGAAGUCCACAGGGAAGCUUAGCGGCCACUCAGAUGGGCGUCUAGACGGAGGGCUUGCUCCUAUCCCAAAGAGGCUGGACCCGGUCGAUCGUGCCGCCGCACCCUUCUGAACACUACGUCAGCUGCGUCCACUCUUGAGAGGAGGAUCAAAGGCUCCAGCCCAGAAGGCACGAAACUCAUCAGCAAGCACUGCCAGGGGCCGUGCUGUCCGGGCCCUCGGCCCCGCCUCAACUAAGUUUGGGGGCUGCGCUGUCCAGGCUCUCACCCCCUCCUCAACUAAGUUUGGCCAUUCACCUCAUCUUGAACCCCAAAACCCUCAUUGAGCCCCCACGGGUCUGCUCCAGUUGGAAACUUAGCUGCCCCCGGGAUGGGCUUCUUGAUGGAGGGCCUCGUAGCCCCACAGACCCUGAACCCAGUGGAUCAUGCCACUGCACCCUUCUACACACUACAUCAGCUGGGUCCAGUCUUGAGAAGAGGCCCAAAUGCUCCAGUCCACAAGGCAUGCAGCUCAGCAUGAAGCACCACCGGAUUAAAAACUCUUCAACUGGACGAUGAGGGGCAAGAUGGCGGAAGAGUAGGGUCCCCAAGUCACCUGUCCCCACCAAAUUACCUAGAUAACCUUCAAAUCAUCCUGAAAAUCUAUUAAUUCGGCUGAGAUUUAAAGAGAGAACAGCUGGAACGCUACAGUGAGAAUUCACGCUUCUAUCAAGAUCAAAUGGUAGAAGAGGUGUCUGGUUUUUUUCAAGUUAAUAAGUUACUUUCAGGAAAGAAAGAAGAACUGAGAUCAGAGCUUUGACUUCAGAGAAUAGAGAAGCUUAUUCAAGAAUAUUCUUAUAAUGUGCCUUUUUCCUCAUUGAAGACUUAAUCAAGGUUACCUACAUUAUUGUAUCCUUAAAAUUUGUUCUUUCAUUUUAAUUAU